UGCCAGACUCCUACGGGAGGCAGCAGUGAGGAAUAUUGGUCAAUGGCCGGAAGGCUGAACCAGCCAAGCCGCGUGAAGGACGAAGGUGCCAAGCAUUGUAAACUUCUUUUGUCAAGGGACAAAAUCAGGCUCGAGAGCCUGACCGAGGGUACUUGAAGAAAAAGCAUCGGCUAACUCCGUGCCAGCAGCCGCGGUAAUACGGAGGAUGCGAGCGUUAUCCGGAUUUACUGGGUGUAAAGGGAGCGUAGACGGUGCGCCAAGUCUGGAGUGAAAUGCCGCAGCUUAACUGCGGAACUGCUUUGGAAACUGGCGAACUAGAGUGCGGGAGGGGUAAGCGGAAUUCCUAGUGUAGCGGUGAAAUGCGUAGAUAUUAGGAGGAACACCGGUGGCGAAGGCGGCUUACUGGACCGUAACUGACGUUGAGGCUCGAAAGCGUGGGGAGCAAACAGGAUUAGAUACCCCAGUAU
rnacentral:rRNA from 1 species